rnacentral:tRNA from 1 species
AAAAUUUUAGUUUAAUAUAAAAUUUUUCUAUUACAAUGAAAAGAUUUAAUAUAUAAAUUAUA